rnacentral:lncRNA from 1 species
GACUUCGCCUUUAACCCUGAUUGCAGGAAGAUUCUGCCCAGACUCCUAUGGGAGCUGGGCUUCGUCCUCGACUCCAACAGCUGCAAGCAGCCUUCGUCCGGACUCCAUCCCGACUCCUACGGGAGCCAGACUCCAUCACCAAUUUCAACAGCGAGCAGACUCCGCCCGAACUCCUACGGGGGCCGGGCUCCGUCCUCAACC